rnacentral:rRNA from 1 species
GACGAACGCUGGCGGCGUGCUUAACACAUGCAAGUCGAACGGAAAGGCCCUGCUUGCAGGGUGCUCGAGUGGCGAACGGGUGAGUAACACGUGGGUGAUCUGCCCCUUACUUUGGGAUAAGCCUGGGAAACUGGGUCUAAUACUGGAUAGGACCAUGCUGUAGGUGGUGUGGUGGAAAGAUUAGUUUCGGUAAGGGAUGAGCUCGCGGCCUAUCAGCUUGUUGGUGGGGUAAUGGCCUACCAAGGCGUCGACGGGUAGCCGGCCUGAGAGGGUGGGCGGCCACAUUGGGACUGAGACGCGGCGCAGACUCCUGCGGGAGGCAGCAGUGGGGAAUAUUGCACAAUGGGCGCAAGCCUGAUGCAGCGACGCCGCGUGGGGGAUGACGGCCUUCGGGUUGUAAACUACUUUCGGCCAUGACGAAGCCCUUGUGGUGACGGUAGUGGUAGAAGAAGCACCGGCUAACUACGUG